UACGUAGGGUGCAAGCGUUGUCCGGAAUUAUUGGGCGUAAAGAGCUCGUAGGCGGUUUGUCGCGUCUGCUGUGAAAACUCGGGGCUUAACUCCGGGCCUGCAGUGGGUACGGGCAGACUAGAGUGCGGUAGGGGAGACUGGAAUUCCUGGUGUAGCGGUGAAAUGCGCAGAUAUCAGGAGGAACACCGGUGGCGAAGGCGGUUCUCUGGGCAUUACCUGACGCUGAGGAGCGAAAGCAUGGGGAGCGAACAGG
rnacentral:rRNA from 1 species